GUUUGAGUGCAGCAGUCAGGUUAGGCUUCAUUGAGAAGGCUCCAUGGAAAGUGGGGCUCAAAGGAGGUAAGGGACUUAGCCACACAAACACGUAGGGGAAGGCAGUUCCACUUGGAAGGCUCCCCAAGAAAACAGGGUCGCCAUCUGCUGGAUUGAUAUCAAAUUACAGGAGCAUGUGAAGGGGGAGUUGGAGACAAUUCAGUUAGAACCCAAACAGAACCUUCCACUGGAGGUUUGGAACAUGUGACUUAACUGCUCUAGCUUCUGUUUCCUCAUCUGAUUGGAUCUCAGGGAGGGUGUCAAGAGCCCAGAUGCUGAUGAAAAAUGGAGGCUCAGCACAUUAUGCGAGUUGCUCACUGUCCUAUAGCACAGAACAUGCCAGAAAGAGACCCUGACCCCUGAUGCCUAGCCACUAAGCCACAGACAUUGACAGAUGAUCUGCUCAAUGUG